rnacentral:lncRNA from 1 species
GUCGAUGCUCGAAUGAAUUUCCCAAAUAUUCUUUUGAUCAAUGGAGCUAAUCCCACUUUCUAAUCCCUUUUCUAAUAACUAAUUCAUCAACAAAACCUUCUUCCCAAGUUAAAACUAAUUUUACUUUCCAAUUUAAUGAAACUAGUGACCAUAAUUUCCACCCAUCUAAUAUACAUUUGCUCCAUAAAAUCAACUCCCAAGUGAAAUAUUCCAUUUAUAUUAUCACUUCCACAAUUAAUUAAUUAAAAUCCCCAAAAUCGGAUUCUAGGGUUUCCAAAAAUUUCAUUGCCUAAACACCUUGUUAAAACUGAAANNNN